GUGGUUGUUAUAUAUGGCUGGAGUCAGAUUUUAAAGAUGUACAUGUUACAGCUUACAUACAAAUUCAAUUUAGAAACAAAGUUACAGACCCUAUCUUGUUUGUAACUUGCCAAUAUUUUUCUUCUAAGUCUUAUUUUUAUUACCCUGCAAUAUUUAUUAUCAAAUGCUGGAAAAUAUGCUUCUUCACAAUUAUUUCUUGGAACCAAGCACAGGACUAUGGCAGAAUAAUAUAUUUAGAAUUUCAGCCAUAAGUAAUUGCAGUACUAGGGCCAGGAACUGAAUAUGCUGGUUUCAAAAGGGAGAAAGUUAUUCUAGUUAUCUCAUAGAGCUUAACCUAAGGUCCCUUCCACACAGCUUUAUAAAAUCCAUAUUGAACUGGAUUAUAUGGCAAUGUGGAUUCAGAUAACCCAGUUCAAAACAGAUCUUGUGGAUUAUCUGCCUUGAUAUUCUGGGUGAUGUGGCUGUGUGGAAGGACCCUCACAUCUUUUCAAAGUGCAAAUAUUUAUGCAUGCUCUGCCAGUGGAUGAUUCAGGCAGUGUUUAAAGAUCUACCAUAAAGAUGGAGUCAAGGCCCAUUACCCAAAAUGAACUAAUCAGAGUACCCACAGCAUUGGUCUUUGCUGCAUUAGGUGAGGUCACAUGGCCUGUGUUUCCUUUAAAAUAUAGAAGAGGCACUAUCUUUCCCCCCCUAAUGUCCACUCUUUGCUUUCUGUUACCUAUCUCUGGAGUGCUUUUAAACUGUAUGGUAUGCAAGAUGUGUGAACGAUUUGAAGGAACCUGGGAGCUUAUGUCUGAUUGUAAAGAUGACGGAGGAUUAAAUGUGACAUUUUAUGGUGGUCAUUUAUACAUCCAUAUGAGCAACUGUCCAGGCCAGCCCUGCCAUUAGACAGUGCGUCAUCUACCUCAGGCAGCGGAAUCAUGG
rnacentral:lncRNA from 11 species